GGAAAGUGAAGGAUCUUCGGACUUCACGCAAUUGGAUGAGCCUGCGUAAGAUUAGCUAGUUGGUGGGUAAAGGCCUACCAAGCGACGAUCUUUAGCUGGUCAAGAUGAUCAGCCACACUGGGACUGAGACACGGCCCAGACUCCUACGGGAGGCAGCAGUGGGGAAUAUUGGACAAUGGGCGCAAGCCUGAUCCAGCAAUACCGCGUGUGUGAAGAAGGCCCGAGGGUUGUAAAGCACUUUUAUGAGAGAAGAAAAGUUAGUAGUUAAUACCUGCUAACCNNNACGGAUCUCAAGAAGAA
rnacentral:rRNA from 1 species